GAGUAACACGUGGGUAACCUGCCUGUAAGACUGGGAUAACUCCGGGAAACCGGGGCUAAUACCGGAUGCUUGAUUGAACCGCAUGGUUCAAUUAUAAAAGGUGGCUUUUAGCUACCACUUACAGAUGGACCCGCGGCGCAUUAGCUAGUUGGUGAGGUAACGGCUCACCAAGGCAACGAUGCGUAGCCGACCUGAGAGGGUGAUCGGCCACACUGGGACUGAGACACGGCCCAGACUCCUACGGGAGGCAGCAGUAGGGAAUCUUCCGCAAUGGACGAAAGUCUGACGGAGCAACGCCGCGUGAGUGAUGAAGGUUUUCGGAUCGUAAAACUCUGUUGUUAGGGAAGAACAAGUACCGUUCGAAUAGGGCGGUACCUUGACGGUACCUAACCAGAAAGCCACGGCUAACUACGUGCCAGCAGCCGCGGUAAUACGUAGGUGGCAAGCGUUGUCCGGAAUUAUUGGGCGUAAAGCGCGCGCAGGCGGUUUCUUAAGUCUGAUGUGAAAGCCCCCGGCUCAACCGGGGAGGGUCAUUGGAAACUGGGGAACUUGAGUGCAGA
rnacentral:rRNA from 1 species